GAAUAUUUUUCAUGUAGGCAUCAAAUGACACUGAAUUACUUAGGGGAUUGUGUCAACACAACAGACUGAAGCAAUGGGUGGACUUAUUACUUGACAUAGCUCUGUGCACCUAUGGACCAUAUUUUUUUAUGCAAUUGACACUCAGGUUCAACUUUAUUAGCAUGGUAUUAACUCUUUUUCAGAAUUCCAAUCUUUUCUAAAAGUCCCAUUCUGUAAUCUCAUUCAUCACAGGUUACAGCUGAACAUAAAUGCAUGUUUUGUGUGCUUUCAGUAUCCCAAAUAAUCCAGAUAAGAGUUAUUGUUGUCAUUAUUUAUCAGUACUCUAAGUUCUGUGUCAACUGAAAACUUUGUUUUGUAAGUUUUCACUCUAUAGUAACUAAAGAUAGGACCAAGCUCUUCAGAAUAGCAGAAGUUUCAUUCUACAUGUUCAUUUGAGAUGCGUCACCUAGGGAGUACUUAACUCACUUGAGCUUAUGGCUUAUGCUAAAACAAUAGUCAAUCAUCUCUUCAAGCAACACAAGCACAUUAAGGACAGCAGCUCUCAUCCAGCUCCAUUACUGCAGUUUGUCUGCAGAAUAAUGCAAGUCACCCCAGAAGACUGUAGCAGAAUGAAACCUGAGGUGAUACAUCGAUCAAGGACAAGAAGUCUACCUAACAGCUCCAGUUUGCUUUUUUCCUAUAUGCUACCUUAUUACAUACAGUAUAUACCCCUUAUUUGUGUACUUUAUUCAUUGAUUCUUCUUUCUGUACAUUUUCUUCUGCAAAUAAGUUCUAUCCAGAUUAACAG
rnacentral:lncRNA from 1 species